rnacentral:rRNA from 1 species
GACGAACGCUGGCGGCGUGCUUAAUACAUGCAAGUCAACUUGACUUUAGAUAGCAAUAUCGAAAAGUAGGGUGGCGCACGGGUGCGUAACGCGUAGGUAAUCUGCCCUGAGGUCUGACAUAACCCGUCGAAAGGCGGGCUAACAUCAGAUGAUAUAUAAUCACGACAUCGUGGAAAUAUCAAAUCUUCGGAGCCUUGGGAUGAGCCUGCGUCUGAUUAGGUAGUUGGCGGAGUAAUAGCCCACCAAGCCUACGAUCAGUAGCUGGUCUGAGAGGAUGAUCAGCCACACUGGAACUGAGACACGGUCCAGACUCCUACGGGAGGCAGCAGUAAGGAAUAUUGCUCAAUGGGGGAAACCCGUGAAGCAGCAACGCCGCGUGAAGGAUGAAAU